GACUCUCCCGGAAGCGGGUGCUUCUCAUUUCUAAGGAAUCAGAGCAUUACAUUUUCUCGGAAGCUUGUACAAAAGUAGAAAGUAAAACCCCUUCCCAGACCUGAAGGUGUGAUGAUGUUCUUUUCGUUUCUGUGACACUUAGCUCUUUUUGUUAAGGUGAAUGCUUCCGGAAAAAAGAAGGGAGUGGCCACAGGUUUCCAGCGUCCCUGAAAAAAGCCAGCGUCCUUCACUGAGGCAGGUCUCCUGGGAGGCCUCAUUUUCGAAAACCCAGUUUCAGUGGUGAUGCCUGCUGCUUUCCUGCUGGAAGUAGAAGAUUCCUGCUGCUCUGUAUGCUUGUCAGCACUUGGUGGUGUCAGUCCUUUGAAUUUUCAUGAUUCUAAUAGCUCUCUCUUUUGCCCUCUGCUUCCUGGCUGCUGUGAAUGAACCACUCCUCUACCAUACCCUCCUGCCAUGAUGUUUCUGCUUCACCACAGGUCUCAAAGCAAUGGGAUCAGUUGGCUAUGGACUGAAAUCUGAACAUAUGAAAAUGCCAUGUUUGGGGAUGCUUGAGUGGGAGACUAAAUCUGUGUCUGCGUUGAGGAUGCUGAAGCAGAUUAUGUGGCAAAGACAGCAGAGGAUGAGGAAGAUCUCAAGAGUAUAUAACCCUGGGAAUAAGCAAGAGUCCUGAACUUCAUAUUUUCAGAGUUGUAGAGUCCACGGGUUCAAAGCCAAGAUCUCUGAGUAGGAGACGGACCUUGCUAACCUCUGGGGUGUGUGUGAAAUGAAGACAUAUAAUACAAUGAGAGGGUGGAGCUGGAAAAUACAAAAGAGCAGAGAGGGGGCUGGGGGAAACUCAGGGGUUCACAUUUACUCUCAUAAGCCCGCCCACCCCUGCCCUGCCAAGUCCACGCUGCCUGGUGGGCCUUCUUCAGGAUCUCUAGUCUGCAGUGUGCAAGCUCAGGGCAGGGCUGCCCAGGGAUGCAGGGUCUCCUGAUGAUGGAAAAUGAGCCCCCCCACCAAGAAAAUUUUUGUCCAAGCUCUGCUUCUUGGGGGAUUGACUUGAUAUUCUACAUCCUUUUUAGAGUGUUGUUCCUCCCUUUGUUUUUAUGAACACUGGCGAAAAGAGAGAUCCGAUUAGCUAAGCAAACAACAGGUCCAGGCUCAUGAAGAGCUUGGAUCUUCUUGUUCCUCUUUAUCCCAGUUUUAUAAAUCACAUUGGAGCAGAGAGACAUUUGAGGUGAAAUUCCCAGGAAGUGGUAAAUACCAUCAUUCAGGGGAACAAGUUGGGGGCAGAGUUACAGCGUGGAGUAGGACUUCCACACAAAACUUAUAGACUACCUGGGCUGGAAGAGGUUCUGGGGUAGAUCUCAAAUACUGCUAUUCAGAGGUGGUGCACUGACUUAUUAAGAGCUCCCAGGGCACCUGUGGAAACAGUUUCUCAACACUGUUCAGCAGCUCCCUUCUCAGCUGUCUCUGAGCCAGUCCUCCUUGUACCUUAGGGCUGACCUAGGGAGCAGAGCUGAAUCUGUGAUCAGGCACUACUCCAUCUAUGCUCAGGGUAGAAUCUGAUCAAAUGGAGCUAGCUAUUCCUUGUCUCUGCCUUGCUUUAGCAGAGAGCUACUGGUGGAAAUAUCAAAUGGGGAUCUCAAAGGAGAAAUCUUGGUUACUUGAGUUUUUCCAGAGAGAGAAGACUGGGAAAUUAUUUUAUCCACCUUAAAAGGGGAAUAACAAGAAAGAACAACACCCUUAAUUAAUACAAUCUAGAAAGGCAUGUUAUUCUUGAAUUAUGAAUGUCUGUAGCUUGCCCAAAUUAAGAAUUAAUUCAGAGGGCUGGGGAUUUAGCUCAGUGGUUCUGAUGCCUGCCUUGCAAGCGUAAGGUCCUGAGUUCGAUCCCCAGUACCAAAAAAAAAAAAAAAAAAAAAAAAGAAUUAAUUCAGAAUUAAGUUCAGGAUUCUUCAUUCUUUUCUUGCCUUUCAGCACCAAUACAAAGAGCCAGGAAGUAGAUCAAAGGUGGAAUAUUAACAGGUAAGUUUCCACCUAUUCAAAAGGCGCCAAUCAAAAUUCCAAAAAAUACAAUCUUGAACACCAUAAUCCUGAAUGUUGAAAUCUCAAAAGACUAAAAUCCUUAAAGUAUAAAAUCCUCAAAGGUCAUAAUCUUGACAAUCUCAGUUCUAAAGAUUAAAAUCCUGAAUGGUGAAAUGCUGAAAGCUGUAAUCCUAAAAUCCAAACUCCCUGGUGGGGGUGGAUGGGCAGGCUAUGUAAGAGGGGUAGAAAGUUGAGGACAGGAUUAGUUCAGUUUUGGUGGUGUGUAAACUGGACACUCACUAUUCAGUCAUGUACCAUGUCUGAACUCUCACGCAUAGAACCAUACCUACCUUCGAAACAUGUCCCUCACUAGAGAAGAAAAUGAAUUCAAAGCUCAGCAAUCUUCUAAACCAGACAUUUGCUGAUAUAGAAAUUCCUCCAGUGUUACACAACCCCUUAAAUGGUGAACAGUUCUUGUUUAUACAUUUGACAAGCAAUGAAGUUAGACUUCUUAAUAUUUACCACGAGAUCUAAAGUAGACGUUCUAGUUCAUGUUUCUGUUUAGCUAAUAGGUGACACUUUCAAACUGGUUACCAUUGCUUUUUGAAGCAAAUAUAUGCAGUUCAUGUCUGUGUUGAACCUGACAAUUCUUGAAUGUAUGGUUAUUUAUGUAUUAUGUAUGCUCAUUUAGGUAUUUCAUUUUUAUUUUAUGUAUUUUAUUUUUAUUUUAUGUAUUAUGUAUUUUAUUUUUAUUUAAUUUAUGUAUUCAUGUAUGCUCACUUAUGUAUUACUAGCUGGAAAAAUUGAAAUGGUUUAUAAUUACUGGGGGAUUUGGUGGGCUUUGGAGAAGAAAAUGGAUUUCUAAUGAUUCCCCAGACCAUUAGGAGAGGUUUAAAGUUAGGUGGAAUCAAGGAUUCCAAAACUGAAUUUUGAGUAUGAUCAAUAAAACUUGUUUUUUCCGCUCA